GCUGGACAUGGUGGCAUGUGCUUGUAGUUCCAGCUACUCAGGAGGCUGAGGCAGGGUGGAUCCCUUGGGUCCAGGGGUCCAGGAUUGUAGUGCGCUAUGCUUAUUGUGUGUCCUCACUAAGUUCGGCAUCAAUAUGGUGACCUCCUGGAAGCAGGGGACUGCUGGAUUGCAUAAGGAAGCGUGAACUUGCCCAGGUCAGAAAUGAAGCAGGUCUAAAGUCCCUUGCUGAUCAGUAGUGGGAUGGUGUCUGGGAAUAGCCACCGCACUCCAAACUGGGGCAACGUAGUGAUACCCUGUA
ensembl:misc_RNA Metazoa_SRP Metazoan signal recognition particle RNA